AAAUCCAAAACUCUCUCCCUCCUUCAAGAGAAGAUCGUGAAUGGUGAUGGUGGUGCGGCCAAUUCCUCUCCUCCGAUCGACAACAACAACUAACAUUGCCUUCUUCUCUUUUCAUCACAAAUGGCAGCGCGACCUCCAUCUCCAGUGAUAUCUCCUUUUCGUCCCCGUUUGAUCCUCUCCGUCUCCGAUUUUUUCGAUUCAUGUUAGUUUUUGUUUAAUAUCAUGUUUUAGUAACCUAAUUUGUUUGAUUUUACAGAGAUUAACACAAAUUCUAAAAGGGAAAACGAAACCCUAGUUGUAAGCAGAAUAGGGUUCGAGAAGAAGAAAGUCGCACUGUAGAGAGAACUAAGGGAUUGGGUAGCGCGCCAUCUCCCGUCAGUGGGGCUUGGCACUUGUGUUUAUCUAUGGAGUGCUUCAAACAGCAAAGUGACUAAGCUUUGUGACUUGGAGCCUUAUGAUGGUGUUUGUUUUGUCCAGUGGACCAAGGAGGGUUCUUUCAUAUCUAUUGGUAUAAACCUUGGUCAAGUUCAGGUACCUUGUUAGCGAUUAGCUUCAUUAGAUUUUGUUUUAUCCAUCCAUGUAUUUGAAAUAACAGAUUUUGUUUCCAAGAAAUCGCCGAAAGGGGUGUCUGGAAUCGAGAAAGAUUCGUG